AAUAGACUUUCAUGGGUGGCUUCGAGUAAGAAUAUAUCAGUUCAACUUUCUAGAAUUUCCCAUACUUGGUAUACAAAUUCUUUCAAGAUUCAAUAAAUUGUCAACUAUAAAAAUAUCAACUUUUUUCACUGAAUCAUUAGAGAGGGCAGGAAUGUAGAGUAAAGCAUUUUUGGGGAUUCCAGAUGACAUAAUAUUAUAACUUAAAGGAACAGAGGGAGAGUGUUUUGUGCAAGAUCAGCAAGUUCACAACAGAGAAUGAAUUGGAGUUGAGGAAUUCUGAUUCUUAGCCUAGCGCCUUUUCCUCUCAAAUACCCUCAGGAAAGCUUAUAACACAGAUUUUGUACCUGUUAGUUACUGCCAUGUGACAAGCCAUUGGAAAAAUUUUGUUGCUAAAAAAAAAUACCAUUUGUUAAUGCAUACAAGUUUGUAGGCUGUUUUGGAGUUUGAUACCUUAGCUGGGCUCACUUUCAUGUCCAUGAUGUGCUGCUGUUUGGUUGGAUGGUUCAGCUUUAGCUGGGAAACUGAGGUUACCUUUGCUUCCUCAGGUUUCUCAUCCUCCAGCCAGCUAGCAUAGAUUUACUCUCAUGGUGAUGUCAGGGUUUCCAAAGAUUGAAGCCCAAUGCAGGAAGGAAAAUAAUAAUCUCAUUCUUGUACCCAAUGCCCAUUUUAAGGUCAAUCCCUUAUUUAAGGGUAGAGAUCAGACAUUACCUCUUGCUGGCAGGAUAUGUAAAGUCAAAUACAAAAAUGCAAGAGUCUGUGAAAAAGUAGCACCAUUUUUGCCAUCAGUCUACCAUAGGAUAGUUAAUUCAUUAAUUCAUGCAGCCUUUAUUUAUUGUCAUCCUUUGCGCCUGGACCAGUGCUACUAUUAAACCUAGGGGAUAAAAUAAAGAGGAAUAAUUUAUCUUGUACUUCUUUCAUUUUUAUUUUAUUUUGAAAAAUAUUAAAAUACUAUUUCUUAUUGAUUCAUUUAUUUGCAAGGCAGAGAGAGAGAGAGAGAGAGAGAGAGAGAAGGAAAGAGAGAUCCUUUCAACUGAUUCAUCCCCCAAAUGACUGCAGUGGGCUCUAGCCAGGGCUGAAGUUAGGAGCCAGCAAUCCAAAUCUCCCAUGUAGAUGGCAGGGACCCAAUCACCUGAGCCAUCGCCACUGCCUCCCAAGGUAUGCAUUAGCAAGAAACUGGAAUCAGGAGAUGGAGGUGCGUAUCCGACUCAGGUAGCCCGAUGUGGGAUGCUGGCAUCUUAAUUUCUAGGCCAAAUGCUUGCACUCUUGUAGUUAUUUCUCAAUGAAAAAUAUCAUGUAAUCAAAAUAUCUGUUUCACAAUUUCGUGAUGCAGGGUCAGAUUUUCUAUCAACGUCCAGAAAGACAUUAGUCCUUAAAUUUGAUGUUGCAUCUUCUACAAAAAUAAACUCACACAGAAAUUCAGGAGUAAUUUAGGGUGUAUAAAUUAAAAUUGGCUUUGGUUAGAAUAAUUGACUUUUCAAAGGUGCAGCCAACAGGGAACUGUCAGGCUAGAUGAAUUUUUACACAUCUCAGAGAGAAAUUGGAGCUCUAACUGCUAAAUUUAACUUACAAGGAUAUCAUACAUACAUUUGACAACUUGAAGGUCUUUAGAUUAUAGAGGGAGUUUUUAUCAUCUCUAUCUGAUAUUUUCCUAGCUAAUUGCUAUUUCAGCUGAGAUAUGGGAGAGAGGCUACAGCAUGUCCCCAAACAGUGAAUGAGCUAUUUCAUUUUUAGACUUAGAUUGGUUGCUUUCCUCUGGAGACUGAUAGUAAAAUUCUCAUGUCAGCCAGUUGCAGGGCCUGGUCUGGGUAGUGUCAAAUAAGUUUUUCAGGAAAAUAAUUAAAAAUUUUCAAAAUAUACAUCAUACAAGCUAAGUUUUCUAAGAGAACAACUAAAAAGUGAGGUAAAUAGAAAACAAAACCUUUUCUUAGAAAGUAAUGAACAGACAAGAUAGCAGGUAAUUAGAAGGCCAAAAUCUAAGGGAAUGUUAGAAUCCAGAGAGAUAAGAAGAGCACUGUACCCUUCAUUCUGGGGAUUUUUACCCACCUAGGUAAACGUUAACUUCUUUAGUAUGCGUGGCCUAACUGGAUAGAACAGAAGUCUCAGAGCCCACUAAAAUCAGAGUCUAGUAGGAGGCUCUUCAGCCAUAGAGCUGGUACUCCAAAGGGUUCAAAAUUGGGAUAAAGGAAAACUAGCAGUUAUCCUAGCUUUGUCUUGACAAUAGAGCCUGCAAUGAAAGUUUCAUUCUCAGGUGCUGGAAACUUUUUCCAAAAUGGUUGUAUCUACAACCUGGCCUCAUUAGAAUUUUCGUUCUUCAAAUCGACCAUCAAAUUUCAAAAACAGUAAAGCAAACAAAGAAACAAACAAAAAACUGUAUCUACUACAGAGGUGUGGGUUGUAUUCUCCACUAACCACCAUGUAGAAACAAAUACCAGUUCUUUCUAUCAGAAGGCUUUUUCCAUCCUAGGACUCAGAGAAUUCCCAUAAAUAGUUUAAAAAGGAAAAUAAGCCUUUCAUAUUAAAUACUUUUAAAGAUUUAUUUAGAUAUUUGAGGGGCAGAGUUAUAGACAGAGGGAGAGACAGAGAGGGGGCUCUUCCAUCUGCUGGUUCACUCCCCAAAUGGCUGCAACAUCUGGAACUGGGCUGAUCUGAAUCCAGGAGCCAAAGCCAGGAGCUUUUUCCAGGUCUCCCACAUGGGUGCAGGUGCCCAAGUACUCAGGCCAUCUUCCACUGCUUUCCCAGGCCAAUAGCAGGGAGCUGGACUGGAAGUGGAGCACCUGGUAUUUGAACCGGCACCCAUAUGGUAUGCCAACUCCACAGGCAGAGGCUUAACCUAUGAGGCCACAGCUCUAGCCCUGUAUAGAAAAUAUUAAGUACACAAGAAAAUAAAGUACUAUGAGCAAUAACUAGCAGAGACUAACCUGUGAACCUCAUAGAAAAUCACUGACUACACAUAAAGGAAACCAAACAACAUAGCUGUACUCUUUGGAGGACAGAAAGCUAUGAAAGGCAACUUUAAAGUUUCAAAAGAAUGUCAAAUAAAGCCUCUAGAAAUUUAUAACUUCAAUAGUUGAAAUGAAAAACACACUACUCAGUAGGCACAUUUAACAACAGAUUAGACAGAACAAAAAAGAGCAUCACUGAAUUGGAAGAUAGGUCAGAACUGUGAAGUAGGCAGUUAGUGGGAAAUGGUAGUGUCCUCAGAUACCAUCAUAAGCCAGUGUGCUGAAUGAACUUGAGAAGGAACUGAGGAAGAGUGGAGAGGAUUGCUGGAGGGCAUGGGUAACUGUAAAAAUUACUUUAUCAGAAAAUAAGAUAGGAAGGAGAAGCCAGGGUGGAAACAGGGAGGGAGGGAGUAGAUGGUAGAAGUAUCAUUAUGUUCUUAAAUCUGUAUGGAACACCUGAAAUUUGUUCCCUUUAUAUAAAUUAAAAGAUUAAAAAAAUACUUCAUCACUUGUGUUUUUCUAAUUUCACCUCAAGUUAUGCAGGGCUUGGACAGACCAUAAAUAAAAUAAUUAGCAUAGACCAUGGUCUUAUUUCCUCAGAAGUAGAGUCUAACACAUAAUAAGAUAGAAUAAUCCAAUAAAAUAGACCACAUACCCAUGUGAGUUAUGGAAAUAGAAAGGGCAGGACAUGAUGUCAAAUAUAUUCACAUGAAAAUUCUGGUAUGUCUAGGUUCUAGAAGCAGGGAAGAGCUCUUUGGGUCAGUAUCCUGAAGGUUUAAGUAAUGAGAAGGGUAUCUCAGUCAACAUGGGAAUCUCCAAGAUGUCUCUUCAUCAUAGUUGGCCAGUGGAACAACGUUUUAUCUUGCAUGUCAUAUAAGUGUGUAAUCUCCUGAGUGUUAAAGGAUAUUUAGGAUGAGUUCAGGCCGUGUGGGGAUAUAUUAUUAUCUUCAUGAAUUCAGAAGGCAUUGGUAGGUUUUGCCUUAUUUUUGAAAACUCAAUCAUUUCAUUAUUUUGAGCACCCAUCUCCUAAAAAACAAACAAAAAAGGAAAACUUCAGUUAAUUAUUUUUCAUAUUAGCUAAGUUCUAGGAGGCCUCCAUAUGCCAAGAUAAGUCAGAUGGAGAACCUAUUCAUUUUCAAUGUCAUCUUUCUGUGCAAGAGUCCCGAGACAUCUAUUGCCCACCCUUGCUACUCUCCUCCAGGCCCAUUUAUAUCCUAAGUUUCCUGUUUUGUAUAUUUCGUCCAUGGGAGUCCUGGAAUUUUUCUGUUUCCAUGCCACACUAGGAUACAGGAAUUUCUUGAAGCUAUCCAAGUACAAUUUGCUAAGGUUGACUGUUCCCUCUGGGGUUUUGUCAUUUCUUUGUUGCUUUGAACAAGGAGGCAAAAAUUCCUCUCAGGAACCUCUGACAUCUAGACUCUUAAUACAUCCCCUACAUCUCUUUAUUUCCCCCAGAUCAUGCAGAAGCCACUUGUCUCCUAAUUUUUACAAACAUUCUGCCCAUAACUGAAAUCCUUUCCAUUCACCUGAGCAUUCUGUCUUUUGAUGAAAAAUCCCAGAAGCAGACUUACAGACUUGCAGCUCUGUCACAUGGCUGCUCCCAUUCCUUGAAACAUAGAAUGCAGAAAUGCUCAGCUUUUUGAGUAAAUGGAAGAUCAGAUGGAGAAAAGAUUGAAUUAUUGUAUAUUUUAAAGAGUAGUCAGUUGCUUAUAUUGAGAAGGAGCACUGCCCUGGAUCCAUUCAAGGGAAAUUCUUGCCACAGGUGCCAUGCUUUGAUGGCCUCACUGUGGCCCUUUUUCUUGCUUUGUUUCCUCCACAGAGGAAUCUUCUGGGCCUAGGGCAACUGCUAACCCGGAAGCCACAAAUUCUUUUGAGAUCAUGCUUGGCAACCCAGAAUCCUUUGUUCAAAUGGCCCCAAGCCCAAUUCUAGGGUUGGUAGAGGCCUCUUCCCUGGGUCCAUUCCCCUGAGCAUGGAUCAAGCUAAAGUCAUAAUUCAGUUAUAAGUUAGGUUCACACAAGGGGCAGCUUGAGGUUUGACAAGAAAAGAUGUGUAAGUUCUACUUCAUUGCCAGAUUUAUAGAAACCAGUUUAUCUUAUUAUUCUGGGUAUGUUACUUACAGAUAAAAUGGAGCUUUUCUUGAUGUGUUGAGUGUUGGGAUUGAGCCUUUAGCCUGCUCCGGAGUUCACCUGUGAAAUCUCUCUACCCACCUGAGAAGUCCUUUACUUCUCUGCCAUGGAUGUUUUCUGGCCACAGGAGCAAGAUCAACCAAUGGAUGAGACAGAUCACAAGUGCUAGGGAGCUAAUGCCUCAGAAAAGACCCCAAUCAAUAAGUGAUGAGCGUCAGUAGACACAUACCCAGGUUCUUCCCAUCUUGGUGAGGGCUGCUGCUCGAUUCUUCUGGAGGGUGCCCAGUAGUACUGAGCCCUGUUUCUCCCAGUGACAAUCUUCUCAUUAAAGUAGUUUUCUUUCUUUUUAAAGAUUUAUUUAUUUACUUGAGUUACAGAGGGAGAGACAGAGAGAGAGGUCUUCUAUCUGCUGGUUCACUCCCCAAAUGUUCGCAAGUGUUGGAUUUGAGCUGAUCCAAAGCCAGGAACCAGCAGCUUCUUCUGGGUCUCCUAUGCAGGUGCAGGGGCCCAAGCACUUGGCCCAUCUUCUGCUGCUUUCCCAGGCCACCAGCAGGGAGCUGGAUCAGAAGAGGAACAGCUGGGACCGGCACCCACAUGGGAUGCUGGCACAGGCAGGCAGAAGCUUAACCUAUUACACCACAGGACCAGCCCCCAAAAUAGCUUUCUUUAACUUGCCUCAUAUUAUUAUUCUUAAAAGCAGAAUAAAUAAAUAAAGAAAAUAGAGAAAGUUAUUGGAAUGACUUUGAAAGAUUUUAGGGUAUUUUUUUUUCUGUGAUAACCAUAUACAAAGAGAGAGAAAAAAAACUGGGAAAGUAGCUUAAAGAUACUUUAUAGUGCAUUAUGAAUUCAUUCCAGUGUGGCAGUUUAUCUUAUGAUUUCAGAAUGAAUUUAUUUCCUAAAUAAAUGUCUUGGCCUCAGAUCUCUCACUGGGUUAUGGACUGUAUCCUAGGUUUAAAAACUAGGCCGGCGCCGCGGCUCAAUAGGCUAAUCCUCCACCUAGCGGUGCCGGCACACCAGGUUCUAGUCCCGGUCGGGGCACCGGAUUCUUUCCUGGUUGCCCCUCUUCCAGGCCAGCUCUCUGCUGUGGCCUGGGAAGGCGGUGGAGGAUGGCCCAAGUGCUUGGGCCCUGCACCCCAUGGGAGACCAGGAGAAGCACCUGGCUUCUGCCUUCGGAUCGGCGCAGUGCACCUGCUGCAGCACCACUGGAGCGGCCAUUGGGGGGUGAACCAACGGAAAAGGAAGACCUUUCUCUCUGUCUCUCUCUCUCUCACUGUCCACUCUGUCAAAAAAACAAAAAAAAACAAAACAAAACAAAAAAAAAAACAAACAAAAAAACACUAAUGAUUGCCCUUUGCUUUAUCUAAGUUAGAAACAACUAUGGGAAACAAUUCUUAGAAGAAGAAGAAGAAGGCUGGCAUGUGGCUCACUUGCCUAAUCCUCCGCCUGCAGCACCAGCACCCCAGGACAUUAUGAAUCACACUGAGGCUCUCACUAGUGUUGCCUCCUGAUCCUGGACUUCCCUGCCUCCAGAACUAAAAAAUGAAAUCUUGUCUUUUGCAACAAAAUGGAUGCAACUGGAAACCAUUAUACUUAGUGAAAUAAGCCAGUCCCAAAAAAGGCAGAUAUCGUGUUUACCCUGAUCCAAGAAGUGUGCAUUAAAUUCUGUGACCUUGACAUGGAAUGAGUUGUUUAUCAUGUUCCAGGAAUGAGACUCAUGGUGCCUUAUACAUAUGCCCUAGAAAUUCAGCAUCUAAAAUCAACUCAUUCUACAAUUUAAGGUAAUAAUUAUGCUAUUUAGAGAGCCACUUGACACCAGCUAAUGUAGAGGUUCCAGGCUUUGAAGUU